rnacentral:lncRNA from 1 species
AUGUGAUGCAUGCUCACGUGUCUCCGCAGCCGGCUCGGGAAAGAAUCCCCCAAGCUCCAUUUCAUGAGUAAGCGUGAGAGCCGCUCAGUUUCCUCCAGCUCUGCUGAAGCCAGCACAGAAGUAGCCCAAACUCUUCCCUCUGCUGACAGCAAAUUUUAGGCAAAGUCUUGAGAAAGAAGAAAUUGGGUCCAGAAAGGGAAGUGAGGAGAAUCAGAUCCCAGACCUUUGGGGAGAAGGAGCAACCGCCUCUGGCACAGCCCAUCAGGGAGAAAGAGCAGGUAAGGUGCAACAAUGAGCUGAGUAAUUUGCCAGUGAGCAGUGGGGGUGCCGAGAGGUCUUAACCAAGGCAGAGAAUCUGCAAGAGGUGGGACCCCCAGCUUCUGAGUUCCACGAGGACCCCAGCCUGCACUCUCAUGUGGGUGGCAGGAGAGGCUGGAGGAUGGUGCAGGACUCGGGCAGGGGUGCCCAAGGGAAACAUUUUGGUUGGAGAGUCAGGAAGCCGCACCAAGCCUUGUGACCUUGGACGAAUCACUCUGUAGACCUCUGUCUCUGUGACGUGAGCAGCGG